rnacentral:lncRNA from 1 species
CAUUGAUAGUACACCAGGCUCCACAUUCCCCAUUGUUUUCCGGCGAAAUCCGCCGCCGUCGGAAGGUCCCGGCUCGAUUCCUUGCAGCUAGAGCCUCUCCUUGACGUUGCGCUUCCAUUUUGCUACUUCCCGGCCUCCCUCCCUCGUCGGACAGUCCCCCCCACGGCGAGCUCCUCCGCCGUCCGUUCUGCCGCUCCAGGAACUCCCUGUGCGCCACCCCUCCUCGUCAACAGACCAUGCUGGUGAGGCUCUCGCACCCCGUGCGCUGCCCCUCUCCCUCCCCAAGCCAUGUCCCUUCCCUUCCCCCUGUUCUCGGCCGGCCCCCAAGUGCCCAGGCGUCAUCUGUGUCCCGUGCCAAUGAUCUGUUUGCGUGGGGGCCCUCAUUGGAGAAGAAGAAAGAAGCGUAGGGGGUUAUGGGUGAAAUCCAGGGAGUUUUGCGCGAUUAACCCGUAGACCUGGGGGCUAGAUUGCAAGAUUGUCUCGGUUUUCUUUAUUUUCUAGAUCUAAAAAGGCUGCAAAUUUGGAAAUUUGUAGUAAAUUGUAGAAACAUUGUAAAAUAGCAAAUGAGGACUUUUUGGAAUCCUUGUGAGAAGAAUUAUGCAGUAGAGUCAUAAUAUGAUAUAUGUUAGUAGAAAGUUUCUGAUGUUUUUAUUUAUCCUUGCAAAGUGCUUUUAGAAAUCCUUUUAAGUUGGUUAGAUGCAUAUCUUGAGUUAUAGAAGUCCAAAAGUUGUGAUUCCAGUUGUGUUAGUCUUGUGAUGAACUCUCUAGCUAAGAAAAAUAUUGAAAAUGCUAGUUGUGUACUGUUUUUAUCAUGUUUUUAUUUAAUCUUGAUAAAUAGGCAAUUUUUAGCGUGUUGGCUUGUCUUUUUCAUAUCUAAAGUUGGUGGUGCUCCAAUUUCUGUGGAAUUUUUAUGGUAGGCUACAAAUGAUGCUCUUGUGCUGUGGUAAAUAUUUCAUAUUGAUUGGUGCAUGUUUCACUGAGUUAUUGAUUUAACUUAUUUAAUGCUUGUUAUGUGAUUUAUAAAUAUUAGGAGUGUCUAAAAAUAGAAAGUAUAGUUCCACUACCUUUUUAUAAUGUUGUUCUACCAUAAUAACAUAUAAUAUGGCUAUGUGUUUAUAGAAAAUGAUGAUCUUUAGAAUUAUCUUGCUUUUACAUGCUUUCUUGCAAGAGCAAUUUGUCUUUUUCAUAGCAAUUAAUUUAUAACACUUGAGCUUGUGAGAUUUAUAUGAUAGCCAUGUUUUGAUAACAUCUACCACUCACAAAAAUCUCAGCUUCAAAUGAGAUGUUUGCCACAUCACCUAUAAUUAAUAUAUAUAUAUGCUUACUAUAUAAUUGGAUAAUGAAAGUUUGCUAGUAAAUGCAUAUAUUUAAGUCAUGUGAUGCUUUUAAUAGUUGUUUUUGAGGGGUAUGUAUGAUGCUAAGUUAUGAUAAGUAGUGGUUAAGCUUUGAAUAUAACUCAUAUGUAUGCUCUCAUGUUAAUAUAACAACUGCUUAUAUAAGUUCUUCACCUUUACUUUAAUUCUUGCUUAAGGUAUUUAGGGUGUUCCAUGUUACCUAAAUCUAAUACUAAUUAACUAUGUCCAUAGUAGUUGUGAGCUAUGUAUUAACUUAGGCAUAUGUUACCUUGUUAAAGAACUCAAUGAAGAACCUUGUUGCAUAUGUGCUGAAAUGGCUGCUAGAGUGUUUCUGUUGUGGCAAUGUUUUCGAGAUGAUAAUGAUGUUUUCUAUAAAUAUGGUGAAUACAAAAACUGUAGGUAACUUCAUAAUAUAUCUUGUGUUAAAUGUUCAUGACCAUAAGCCUGAUGGUUUAGAAGCUAUAGAUUUUACAAGUUCAUUAUCAGGUUUUGCGUGCUCUAUGUAUAGGUCUGAAUGAUUGUGUUGUUUGACUUAGCUAAGCUUUGAAUCAUGUCUUGAGGAUAGUAGAAUAAGUGUAGGGUUUUCCAUGAUAUUUCCAAACUAUUAAAGAUCACCCUUUUUGGUGGUCUACAUCUCCAGUUAUGUGCUUGUGAAGUGGAAUAACAGAAUCUGUCCUAAUCUGGACAGAGAUGUCUUCUUUGUGAUGUUUGACCUGUUUAACUUUGGUUUUAGCUUGUGGUGUUUAUAACAAAGUUGUGCAUGGUUUGUGAAGAUUUCUAAAAAGUCUAUAACCACCUUGUUGUGAAAACUAGAACUCAACUUAUUGCUGUCUUAAUUUGCAUGUCAGUUUUCUGUCCUUGUUUGUACAGAUCUGCUUAUUGGUGUGUUUUCACCUUGUUAUUUAUUGGAUCAUCUUUUGGUGUGAAUAACAGAGUUUUUGAUAAUUUCGUUAAAUUUACAGAAAGUUUAGGAUCACCCUUUUUGGAUGCUUAUAUCUCUAGUUAUAGCUAAAACAAGUGACUACUGUGCUGCUGUCCAGAUUUUGUGAAUGUGCUUAAGUUAUUAGCUUUAACUUGAUGUUACCUUGUGUGUUUGUGAGUUAGCUCAUAUCACUAUUAGAGUUAACUUGAUCUACCUAAGAAUCUUAUAAAUGUGUUAUAUAAUGUUGUCAAGCACUUAACUAAUAAAUGAUCAUGUAUGCAUGUUGCUACAAAAUAACCUUGCCGCAUAGCUUGCUAGAACCUUAGUGAUGUUGGUGUGUGACUUGCUUGUGUAUGAGUGGUUUAAAAACAAUGUAAUAUACUUUUAUCACCUUCAACUUGCUGGUUGUGUGAUGCACUUAUGUAUGCCAUGUUGAUAAGCACCAUCACCCUAGUUCUUGUAUGAUGCUAUGCUUAAUUGGCUCUUGAAUGUUAAUUGCUUGCAAUAGCUUGACUUGAGUUAACUAGUGAGCCAUACUUGUUAUGCUUGCUAUCUCUAUGGAGACUUGAGUGAUAGUUAGUUAAAUAACUUGCUCUCUAAGUACUUAUGUCUUGCAUGAUCUUAUGUUUGCCUUGAAUACUUUUGUGUGAUGCAUCUCAUUUUACCGUUCUUCGUAUUCAUGCUCUUGCAUCUUGCAUCUCAUCUAGAUACGCUAGAUAAACCACAUGAAUGAUGUGAUGAUGGAACCGAACUCGAAAACGGUGAAUGGUGGACUUAUCCCGAAGAUGAAAGGACUAAGCAAGUGCCGAGAUGGGAGAUGCUCGCCAAGCGAGUGUCGUCUAACAAACACUAACCUAAUGUGGAUUCCAGGCAAGCCCCAGAGCAUAUCCCGGUUUUCUAAACUUCUGCAAUGAAUUAUGUUGAUUAUGAUUGUCAAUUUAAGUUACUAGGCGUUGUCUGAAACCUUAGAUGCAUGAACUUAGUACCCUUUUGAUCUGCACACUAGCAUGAUAAGUCGUGUAGAUGCAAUGCUUAAUAGGACACGGUAAAAGUCGAGUGAUUUUAUGUCACUCAUGAGUUAUAGGAGUUGUUUGUUUACUUACGUUACAACCAUAAAGAUGAUGGGCGGGGCAGGGCCUUGUGAACUAUUUUGGUGGUUGGUGGAUUGCUCUGUCUGUCUAAAUGAAAUUGGACUAAGGUCAAAACGUGUUGGCAUUCGUGAUCAAGUAUUUGAAAGUACUAAUCUCAUACCUAGUAUGGGAUAGGGAAGCCUAGUACCUGAUUGAACAAGGGCGUGGCAUACCAUCCGGCUAUCCUUGGAACGUCGUUCCCAUGGUGCAUCAUGUGGGUGCAAGUUCGGUCAUAGUACGGCAAGAGGCCGGGACUAUGAAGCAUUGCAAGCUAAAGGAAGUUGGCCCUGACACGUGCCUAAGGGAUCAAUGGGAACAGCUGACAAAUGAAGCGACCCUUCGUGGUGCGUGGAUGUUGUGAGAUUAGGGCCUUGUUUAGUUGCCCAACUUUGGGGUGCCAAAAUUACUGUAGCAACACUGUAGUGUUUCGUUUGUAUUUGUGAAUUAUUGUCCAAAUAUUGACUAAUUAGGCUCAAAAGAUUCGUUUCGCAAAGUACAACAAAACUGUGCAAUUAGUUUUUGAUUUCGUCUACAUUCAGUACUCCAUGCAUGUACCGCAAGUUUGAUGUGAUGGGGAAUCUUCUUUUUGCAUAGUGCCAAAGUUGGGAUUUUGGAGUGAACUAAACAUGGCCUAGGUUUGCCAUGCAUGGUUAAUAAAUUCGAAUCGAUUCGUCUGCCUCUCACAGUUCGGGACUGCUUGAUCGCUAUUCUGCACUGAGUAAAGAUGGAACAUGAGGUUAUUAAUCUUGAUGUUUGUUCUCUAAUUGUUUGGAAACAAUGUUGCUUAGUAUAAGUUGCCAACUUAGAAUGGUUAAUGAACUUAGAACUUGAGCUAAAAUAUUGAAAGUAAGGACCAACGUUAGGCAUUUGGCAAAAACAAACCCACAGCUAAAAAGCCUUGCAUGUCUAGGAGUCGGUGGUGUAGUUAUCACCUGUCAGGUCAGUCUUGUUGAGUAUUAGUUGCUCAGCCUAUUUGUGGCUUAACUUUUCAGGUAAUGUCGAUAGUGUGAUUGCUGGCACCACUUGGCCUACUCAGCUCCCUCCAGGCUGGACAGUCGAGUGGGAUCCCUCCUCGGACGGCGAGUGCAGGGAUCAUUGAUGUCAUGAUUGGCUUCGUCAUGAUAUUGUGUAUCGACGUUUAGCUUCCACUUGUUUACAUCUUCGUGUUUAUCACCUUGCAACUUGUUUGAAUUUCGAAAACUCUAAUGUAAUAAAUUGUUGAACUAUGUUAAUGUGAUGGGAAUGUUGUAAUCUCUGUGCUACUCACCUUCGUGUGAGCAAUGCUUCUCUAUCCUGAGUAAGUGGUUUAUCGGAUGAAAUCUGACGGACGACCAAGUUGAGUUGCUUAAAGUGCAUGAUCGCGUGUCAGGCGACUUAAGUGCAUUUUAGUCAGGUUAAUUUGAGCGGUUCCGUCACAAAAAAUUAGAUUAAGUAUUUCAAUUUAUUUGCUUGUACUUCCAAAACC